UACGAAGGGGGCUAGCGUUGUUCGGAAUCACUGGGCGUAAAGGGCGCGUAGGCGGCUUUGUAAGUCGGGGGUGAAAGCCUGUGGCUCAACCACAGAAUUGCCUUCGAUACUGCAUGGCUUGAGACCGGAAGAGGUUAGUGGAACUGCGAGUGUAGAGGUGAAAUUCGUAGAUAUUCGCAAGAACACCAGUGGCGAAGGCGGCUGACUGGUCCGGAUCUGACGCUG
rnacentral:rRNA from 1 species